UGGGGCGUCGCCAAGUGGUAAGGCACUGGGUUUUGAUCCCAGCAUCCCCAGGUUCGAAUCCUGGCGCCCCAGCCA
rnacentral:tRNA from 2 species